rnacentral:rRNA from 1 species
CAGGCUUAACACAUGCAAGUCGUGGGGCAGCAUGGUCUUAGCUUGCUAAGGCCGAUGGCGACCGGCGCACGGGUGAGUAACACGUAUCCAACCUGCCGUCUACUCUUGGACAGCCUUCUGAAAGGAAGAUUAAUACAAGAUGGCAUCAUGAGUCCGCAUGUUCACAUGAUUAAAGGUAUUCCGGUAGACGAUGGGGAUGCGUUCCAUUAGAUAGUAGGCGGGGUAACGGCCCACCUAGUCUUCGAUGGAUAGGGGUUCUGAGAGGAAGGUCCCCCACAUUGGAACUGAGACACGGUCCAAACUCCUACGGGAGGCAGCAAUGAGGAAUAUUGGUCAAUGGGCGAGAGCCUGAACCAGCCAAGUAGCGUGAAGGAUGACUGCCCUAUGGGUUGUAAACUUCUUUUAUAAAGGAAUAAAGUCGGGUAUGGAUACCCGUUUGCAUGUACUUUAUGAAUAAGGAUCGGCUAACUCCGUGCCAGCAGCCGCGGUAAUACGGAGGAUCCGAGCGUUAUCCGGAUUUAUUGGGUUUAAAGGGAGCGUAGAUGGAUGUUUAAGUCAGUUGUGAAAGUUUGCGGCUCAACCGUAAAAUUGCAGUUGAUACUGGAUAUCUUGAGCGCAGUUGAGGCAGGCGGAAUUCGUGGUGUAGCGGUGAAAUGCUUAGAUAUCACGAAGAACUCCGAUUGCGAAGGCAGCCUGCUAAGCUGCAACUGACAUUGAGGCUCGAAAGUGUGGGUAUCAAACAGGAUUAGAUACCCUGGUAGUCCACACGGUAAACGAUGAAUACUCGCUGUUUGCGAUAUACUGCAAGCGGCCAAGCGAAAGCGUUAAGUAUUCCACCUGGGGAGUACGCCGGCAACGGUGAAACUCAAAGGAAUUGACGGGGGCCCGCACAAGCGGAGGAACAUGUGGUUUAAUUCGAUGAUACGCGAGGAACCUUACCCGGGCUUAAAUUGCAGAUGAAUUACGGUGAAAGCCGUAAGCCGCAAGGCAUCUGUGAAGGUGCUGCAUGGUUGUCGUCAGCUCGUGCCGUGAGGUGUCGGCUUAAGUGCCAUAACGAGCGCAACCCUUGUUGUCAGUUACUAACAGGUUCCGCUGAGGACUCUGACAAGACUGCCAUCGUAAGAUGUGAGGAAGGUGGGGAUGACGUCAAAUCAGCACGGCCCUUACGUCCGGGGCUACACACGUGUUACAAUGGGGGGUACAGAGGGUCGCUACCACGCGAGUGGAUGCCAAUCCCCAAAACCUCUCUCAGUUCGGACUGGAGUCUGCAACCCGACUCCACGAAGCUGGAUUCGCUAGUAAUCGCGCAUCAGCCACGGCGCGGUGAAUACGUUCCCGGGCCUUGUACACACCGCCCGUCAAGCCAUGGGAGCCGGGGGUACCUGAAGUGCGUAACCGCGAGGAGCGCCCUAGGGUAAAACUGGUGACUGGGGCUAAGUCAUAAC